GACGAAUGCUGGCGGCGUGCCUAAUACAUGCAAGUAGAACGCUGAAGAGAGGAGCUUGCUCUUCUUGGAUGAGUUGCGAACGGGUGAGUAACGCGUAGGUAACCUGCCUUGUAGCGGGGGAUAACUAUUGGAAACGAUAGCUAAUACCGCAUAACAAUGGAUGACACAUGUCAUUUAUUUGAAAGGGGCAAUUGCUCCACUACAAGAUGGACCUGCGUUGUAUUAGCUAGUAGGUGAGGUAACGGCUCACCUAGGCGACGAUACAUAGCCGACCUGAGAGGGUGAUCGGCCACACUGGGACUGAGACACGGCCCAGACUCCUACGGGAGGCAGCAGUAGGGAAUCUUCGGCAAUGGGGGCAACCCUGACCGAGCAACGCCGCGUGAGUGAAGAAGGUUUUCGGAUCGUAAAGCUCUGUUGUAAGUCAAGAACGAGUGUGAGAGUGGAAAGUUCACACUGUGACGGUAGCUUACCAGAAAGGGACGGCUAACUACGUGCCAGCAGCCGCGGUAAUACGUAGGUCCCGAGCGUUGUCCGGAUUUAUUGGGCGUAAAGCGAGCGCAGGCGGUUUGAUAAGUCUGAAGUUAAAGGCUGUGGCUCAACCAUAGUUCGCUUUGGAAACUGUCAAACUUGAGUGCAGAAGGGGAGAGUGGAAUUCCAUGUGUAGCGGUGAAAUGCGUAGAUAUAUGGAGGAACACCGGUGGCGAAAGCGGCUCUCUGGUCUGUAACUGACGCUGAGGCUCGAAAGCGUGGGGAGCGAACAGGAUUAGAUACCCUGGUAGUCCACGCCGUAAACGAUGAGUGCUAGGUGUUGGAUCCUUUCCGGGAUUCAGUGCCGCAGCUAACGCAUUAAGCACUCCGCCUGGGGAGUACGACCGCAAGGUUGAAACUCAAAGGAAUUGACGGGGGCCCGCACAAGCGGUGGAGCAUGUGGUUUAAUUCGAAGCAACGCGAAGAACCUUACCAGGUCUUGACAUCCCGAUGCUAUUUCUAGAGAUAGAAAGUUACUUCGGUACAUCGGUGACAGGUGGUGCAUGGUUGUCGUCAGCUCGUGUCGUGAGGUGUUGGGUUAAGUCCCGCAACGAGCGCAACCCCUAUUGUUAGUUGCCAUCAUUCAGUUGGGCACUCUAGCGAGACUGCCGGUAAUAAACCGGAGGAAGGUGGGGAUGACGUCAAAUCAUCAUGCCCCUUAUGACCUGGGCUACACACGUGCUACAAUGGUUGGUACAACGAGUUGCGAGUCGGUGACGGCAAGCUAAUCUCUUAAAGCCAAUCUCAGUUCGGAUUGUAGGCUGCAACUCGCCUACAUGAAGUCGGAAUCGCUAGUAAUCGCGGAUCAGCACGCCGCGGUGAAUACGUUCCCGGGCCU
rnacentral:rRNA from 1 species